UNGUUUUGUGGAGUGUUCCUAGAAGCCAGU
rnacentral:piRNA from 1 species